rnacentral:rRNA from 1 species
UCGGAAGGGCACGGUGAAUACGUGCGAGAGGCUUGUACACACCGCCCGUCACACCAUGGGAGUGGGUUGCAAAAGAAGUAGGUAGCUUAACCUUCGGGAGGGCGCUUACCACUUUGUGAUUCAUGACUGGGGUGAAGUCGUAACAAGGUAACCGUAGGGGAACCUGCGGUUGGAUCACCUCCUUACCUUAAAGAAGC